CAGAAAAGAGACUUGCGGCCAUCAAAAUCAGCCUUCUCACAUAUGUUUUUGCUGUUGAUCCAAAAGAAGGCAAAAAACCCAGUUUGAAGUGCUUCCAGAUUUGCAACAAACUAGGAAAAGAAUUCCUCCUUGACCCCAGAAUGGCAGUCAGAUAUCUCUUGGUUUAAGAAGCUAUUACCCCAUUGUUUGAACCUUUUUGAAUAAAAAAGUUUUAUCAAUAUUAAAAUUAUGGAAAAUUAAAG